CCAUCAACUUGAGCACAGAUCUCCUUUAAACAAGAACUAUGAAGUGCUUCAUCUUUGCUGUGCUUGUUGCACUUUUCGCCGGUGCUAAUGCAGCCAACAUCCAAGACCUCAAGGACGCAAGCAACAUUGCGAACUGCAUGUGUGGGACAGCCACGUCGAAGAAACAUUGUCCAAAUGCAAAAGCGACUACAGCACGUUUUUCACGGAAUCGUAUAUGCUUUAUUCAAGCGAUUGCAAGCAGAAAUCUGCGUAAAGCAAUUAACAACGCCGUGGUGCUAUAUAGUGCCUGCGUCCAUGUUAUCCACGUGCGGCAUCUUUUUUUUUCAUUUCUACUGUUGAUAAAUUACCCUUGCAGUGUUCUUGAAUAGUUUCUUAGUUACGUAAAGCCGUACAAUAAAUGUUUGUUCGCCUACUA